GCGGGAAUAGCUCAGUUGGUAGAGCGCAACCUUGCCAAGGUUGAAGUCGCGGGUUCGAGUCCCGUUUCCCGCUCUA
rnacentral:tRNA from 1 species